rnacentral:rRNA from 1 species
AUUGAACGCUGGCGGCAGGCCUAACACAUGCAAGUCGAACGAGUGGCGGACGGGUGAGUAAUGUCUGGGAAACUGACUGAUGGAGGGGGAUAACUACUGGAAACGGUAGCUAAUACUGCAUACCAGCAGAUGUGCCCAGAUGGGAGUAGCGAGUUGGUGGGGUAAGGGCUCACCCAGGCGACGAUCCCUAGCGGGUUUGAGAGGAUGACCAGCCACCCUGGAACUGCGACACGGUCCACACUCCUACGGGAGGCAUCAGUGGGGAAUAUUGCACUAUGGGCGCAAGCCUGCUGCAGCCAUGCCGCGUGUAUGGAGAAGGCCUUCGGGUUGUAAAGUACUUUCAGCGGGGAGGCGUUACCCGCAGGAGAAGCACCGGCUUACUCCGUGCCCGCAGCCGCGGUAAUUC